UUCGCGGGUUCGCCAGUUUUUUCCUGGCGUCUUUGUUUGGACGAGGAUCCGUUCAUUCCGAGGAACCCACGGGGGCUGCCAUCUCAUUCGCCCGAGGUAUCCGCUAAAAACAGAUGGAGCUUUCAUCGCUUAUUGCCAGCUGGCUGCCAAGCCUCCCAUCAGAAGAUGUGGAAACUGUUGUUUCCAAGCUAGAAGAGUGCGGUGUAGCAACCAUGGAGCAUCUAAAGUACAUUGAGGAGAGCGACCUGGACCUCCUAAACCCAGUGAAUAGAAGGAUCCUUUUGGAAAGGUUUCGCGAAGUCAGUGUGACAACCAAGGCACCCAUACCUGCUGCACAACCUACAGCGAGUGUUCCUCUUCCAAGCACCUCACGUUUCGAGAAUUGGAGCGAAGACUUCUCCAUUCCAUGGGAUUCGUUUCCACAGAGGCUUCUGGAAGCAUGCUACAAGAAUGCAAGGCCAACAAAGUCUGACCUGAACCAAAUGGUGAGGCAAUUGAGUAACAGAAUUAUCCAGGAGAGCUUCUCGCCGGGCAGGCGCCACCUGAGGGUAAUUGCUUCAAAGAUUGUAG